rnacentral:rRNA from 1 species
GGUGAGGUGAUAUGAACCGUUAUAACCGGCGAUUUCCGAAUGGGGAAACCCAGUGUGUUUCGACACACUAUCAUUAACUGAAUCCAUAGGUUAAUGAGGCGAACCGGGGGAACUGAAACAUCUAAGUACCCCGAGGAAAAGAAAUCAACCGAGAUUCCCCCAGUAGCGGCGAGCGAACGGGGAGGAGCCCAGAGCCUGAAUCAGUGUGUGUGUUAGUGGAAGCGUCUGGAAAGGCGCGCGAUACAGGGUGACAGCCCCGUACACAAAAAUGCACAUACUGUGAGCUCGAUGAGUAGGGCGGGACACGUGGUAUCCUGUCUGAAUAUGGGGGGACCAUCCUCCAAGGCUAAAUACUCCUGACUGACCGAUAGUGAACCAGUACCGUGAGGGAAAGGCGAAAAGAACCCCGGCGAGGGGAGUGAAAAAGAACCUGAAACCGUGUACGUACAAGCAGUGGGAGCCUCUUAAUGGGGUGACUGCGUACCUUUUGUAUAAUGGGUCAGCGACUUAUAUUCUGUAGCAAGGUUAACCGAAUAGGGGAGCCGAAGGGAAACCGAGUCUUAACUGGGCGUUAAGUUGCAGGGUAUAGACCCGAAACCCGGUGAUCUAGCCAUGGGCAGGUUGAAGGUUGGGUAACACUAACUGGAGGACCGAACCGACUAAUGUUGAAAAAUUAGCGGAUGACUUGUGGCUGGGGGUGAAAGGCCAAUCAAACCGGGAGAUAGCUGGUUCUCCCCGAAAGCUAUUUAGGUAGCGCCUCGUGAAUUCAUCUCCGGGGGUAGAGCACUGUUUCGGCAAGGGGGUCAUCCCGACUUACCAACCCGAUGCAAACUGCGAAUACCGGAGAAUGUUAUCACGGGAGACACACGGCGGGUGCUAACGUCCGUCGUGAAGAGGGAAACAACCCAGACCGCCAGCUAAGGUCCCAAAGUCAUGGUUAAGUGGGAAACGAUGUGGGAAGGCCCAGACAGCCAGGAUGUUGGCUUAGAAGCAGCCAUCAUUUAAAGAAAGCGUAAUAGCUCACUGGUCGAGUCGGCCUGCGCGGAAGAUGUAACGGGGCUAAACCAUGCACCGAAGCUGCGGCAGCGACACUAUGUGUUGUUGGGUAGGGGAGCGUUCUGUAAGCCUGUGAAGGUGUACUGUGAGGUAUGCUGGAGGUAUCAGAAGUGCGAAUGCUGACAUAAGUAACGAUAAAGCGGGUGAAAAGCCCGCUCGCCGGAAGACCAAGGGUUCCUGUCCAACGUUAAUCGGGGCAGGGUGAGUCGACCCCUAAGGCGAGGCCGAAAGGCGUAGUCGAUGGGAAACAGGUUAAUAUUCCUGUACUUGGUGUUACUGCGAAGGGGGGACGGAGAAGGCUAUGUUGGCCGGGCGACGGUUGUCCCGGUUUAAGCGUGUAGGCUGGUUUUCCAGGCAAAUCCGGAAAAUCAAGGCUGAGGCGUGAUGACGAGGCACUACGGUGCUGAAGCGACAAAUGCCCUGCUUCCAGGAAAAGCCUCUAAGCAUCAGGUAACAUCAAAUCGUACCCCAAACCGACACAGGUGGUCAGGUAGAGAAUACCAAGGCGCUUGAGAGAACUCGGGUGAAGGAACUAGGCAAAAUGGUGCCGUAACUUCGGGAGAAGGCACGCUGAUAUGUAGGUGAAGCGACUUGCUCGUGGAGCUGAAAUCAGUCGAAGAUACCAGCUGGCUGCAACUGUUUAUUAAAAACACAGCACUGUGCAAACACGAAAGUGGACGUAUACGGUGUGACGCCUGCCCGGUGCCGGAAGGUUAAUUGAUGGGGUUAGCGGUAACGCGAAGCUCUUGAUCGAAGCCCCGGUAAACGGCGGCCGUAACUAUAACGGUCCUAAGGUAGCGAAAUUCCUUGUCGGGUAAGUUCCGACCUGCACGAAUGGCGUAAUGAUGGCCAGGCUGUCUCCACCCGAGACUCAGUGAAAUUGAACUCGCUGUGAAGAUGCAGUGUACCCGCGGCAAGACGGAAAGACCCCGUGAACCUUUACUAUAGCUUGACACUGAACAUUGAGCCUUGAUGUGUAGGAUAGGUGGGAGGCUUUGAAGUGUGGACGCCAGUCUGCAUGGAGCCGACCUUGAAAUACCACCCUUUAAUGUUUGAUGUUCUAACGUGGGCCCCUUACCGGGGUUGCGGACAGUGUCUGGUGGGUAGUUUGACUGGGGCGGUCUCCUCCUAAAGAGUAACGGAGGAGCACGAAGGUUGGCUAAUCCUGGUCGGACAUCAGGAGGUUAGUGCAAUGGCAUAAGCCAGCUUGACUGCGAGCGUGACGGCGCGAGCAGGUGCGAAAGCAGGUCAUAGUGAUCCGGUGGUUCUGAAUGGAAGGGCCAUCGCUCAACGGAUAAAAGGUACUCCGGGGAUAACAGGCUGAUACCGCCCAAGAGUUCAUAUCGACGGCGGUGUUUGGCACCUCGAUGUCGGCUCAUCACAUCCUGGGGCUGAAGUAGGUCCCAAGGGUAUGGCUGUUCGCCAUUUAAAGUGGUACGCGAGCUGGGUUUAGAACGUCGUGAGACAGUUCGGUCCCUAUCUGCCGUGGGCGCUGGAGAACUGAGGGGGGCUGCUCCUAGUACGAGAGGACCGGAGUGGACGCAUCACUGGUGUUCGGGUUGUCAUGCCAAUGGCACUGCCCGGUAGCUAAAUGCGGAAGAGAUAAGUGCUGAAAGCAUCUAAGCACGAAACUUGCCCCGAGAUGAGUUCUCCCUGACUCCUUGAGAGUCCUGAAGGAACGUUGAAGACGACGACGUUGAUAGGCCGGGUGUGUAAGCGCAGCGAUGCGUUGAGCUAACCGGUACUAAUGAACCGUGAGGCUUAACCUUACAACGCCGAAG